ensembl:lncRNA
CCGUGGUACCCUCUCAGUGGGCGCCGUGGUUCCCUCUCAUGCAGCGUGGUUCCUCCUCCUCAGUGCAGCGUGUUGUCUCAGUGGGCGCCGUGGUUCCUCCUCAGUGCAGCGUGUUGUCUCAGUGCAGCGUGGUUCCUCCUGAGUGCAGCGUGUUGUCUCAGUGGGCGCCGUGGUUCCUCCUCAGUGCAGCGUGUUGUCUCAGUGCAGCGUGGUUCCUCCUCAGUGCAGCGUGUUGUCUCAGUGAGCGCCGUGGUUCCUCCUCAGGUUGCCGUGGUUCCUCCUCAGUGCAGCGUGUUGUCUCAGUGGGC